UGGGAAUUUAAUCUUAAGCAGAAUUCCUCAAACGCAAAACCAUGUGAUAGGAAAUAAUCUCAUAGAGACGGAUCCCUGACGGCUGUCACUGCUGCAUGCUAAGGCCAUAUUGUGAUCAUCACAGGAGAAAAACCAAUCACAGUAAACUACUCCUACGCUAUCAGUCAAGUUGCUGUUGGACAGUUAUAAACAGGGAUGGACAUAACUGGAGGAGCUGAACAUCCUGAAUGACCUCCACCAGGCUGUACAGUGGCACCGCAGCAACCCUGGACUAUUCACAGGAGAAGUUUAAGAGCCAACCUGCCUGCAAAUGAUCAUUAAAUCUCCGUUUACCCGUCUUUUGCCUGAUUGCCUGCUUCCUACUCGUUGCUUGCCCGAGCCAACA